UCUCCUUAUCAUCUUCACGAUAGAACCCAAAUAAUCCAACCUCAACCCAUUCUUCUCCAUUUCCAUGAACUUUCUUCUCAACGACGGAUACCCACGGCGACAUCAAAUCUAAACUUUUGGAAGACAACAACCCACACUCUUUUUAAAGAUUUUGAAGACAGGAAAAGGUCUGAAAAUAUUGAACCCAUAGUUGGAAAAUGGGUUUCAUACCUUAAUAGGGAGAAGAAGUUGGAUUCACUUGUAGGUUGAUGUCCUUUUGCUCCACAUGUUCCUAGAGGACUGUACAUAUAUGACAAUGUUGGAAGUGGUAAGUUUUGACUAUGAUAAAAUUUUAUGUAACAAGCUUGAAUAUUUGUUAUCAAUUCAUAGGGGAUUUAUGUUUAUAAUCUGACUAUCGCUCUCAUUUAUGCUUAUAAUCUUAGAAUCAAUUUAAUUUUGAUUUACUGAAUUAAUUGCUAAUAAUCUAGGGAAGACAAUGCUUAUGGACAUGGUUUUCAAUGCUAUUGAAGAAAUUGUUAAACAUAGAAAAAUGUACCAAUUUCAUGAGGUGAGACAUUAUUCUAGUUUAGAAGAUUAGAAACACAGGAACAUACAGGAAAAACUAGAAAAGAGUUUUUCUAGUUACACCAUAGCAAGGGAGUAGCGAAGGUAUGAAGGGGAUGCAAAAAAACUUCCUAAUAAUUCUCAAACCAAUGAUUAAAUUUCUCUUUUUUAUUUAAUGAUAUUGGGCGGAGCUAUGUAAAAUAAUUACUCCUAUUAUGAUUUUCCAAUAACUUUUCCUUUCUAGGAAACACUAGAAAAGCGUUGAAGAACCAGAUCUAUUGAAAAACAAUAUCACAGGUUUAGAAGAAUCUAUUGAAUCAGUGAAGCCAACGUGAAGUAACGGAUUGAUAUAGGACUUUUUGUAUGGUUGGUAAAAAAAUAUUGGUUUCAGUGUACUGAUUUUAGGCUUGUUGAUACCUAAAGAUGUUAAUGUUUAUUCUUUUUGUAUGUAAACUUCCUUUUAACAAAAAAUGGUUAUUAAUCAAUGUUUGUACGAAUAUUAUAAAGUGUAUUAUAACGUAUAUAUAUUAAAGUGUUGACUCUUUGUUUUCA